GCUUUUGAGGGCAAUCUGGCUGCAGCGUCUGUCACCCCAUUGAUCACCAGGGUUGAUUCCACUGGUCUGUCUGACUGGUCCUGUGUCACCUUCCUCCCUCACCACUCCAUGCGCGUCCCUCCCGAAUCUGCGUGCUCGGACCAAGAAGAUGUUCUUUCCCAAAUAGAGACAGACUGGUCUUCGGUCGAGGGUUCGAGUAGCUGCAUUACCCUGCUAGAACCUCCAAACAAGCUCCCAAUGUCACACAGAAAUCUAAAUAGAAUUAACAAUAGGGCCGUAGAGAUGGUAUUAU
rnacentral:snRNA from 1 species